rnacentral:rRNA from 1 species
AUGGCGGCGGCGAGGGCGGGCGCGGCUGCCCGGCGGCUGUGCCACGCGGCGGCGGCGGCGCAGCCCCCGCGCCUGAAGAAGCUCGCGCUGCACCCGCCCAAAUCCGUAGAGGUUCAAUUUGCAGAUGGCAGUACAUUCCAUCUGUCGGCUGAGUUUCUCAGAGUCUACAGUCCAGCAGCUGACAGCAAGAUCAGAUCAAUAGCUGGCGAGAAGGUUAUAUUUGGGCGCCGACAUGUUGGAAUAAUGUCAGCUGAAUCAAUAGGAAACUAUGGAGUCCGGAUACUGUUUGAUGAUUUGCACAAGACUGGGAUCUUCACUUGGGAUUACUUGCACCAUCUGGGUUCUAACAAAUUCAGUCUAUCACGAAAUUAUAUCAGAACUUUGAGGAAACAUGGUCUUAGUCGGGAUCCUCAGAGAAGGAAAUGA